GAUGAACGCUGGCGGCGUGCCUAAUACAUGCAAGUCGAGCGGACGGGCGCGACGCUUGCUUCUCUGAUGUUAGCGGCGGACGGGUGACUAACACGUGGUUUACCUACUUCUAUGGCUGAGAUCACUUCGAGAAACCGUAGCUCUUACCGGGUACUAUUUUGAACCGCAUUGUUCGAAAGUGUAAGACGGUCUUGCUGUCACUUAUCGACGGAUCCGCGCUUCAUUAGCUUGUUGGUAAUGUAACGGGUUACCAAGGCAACGAUGCAUAGCCGACCUGAGAGGGUGAUCGGCCACACCGGAAGGGAGGCACGGUCGAGACUCCUACGGGACGCAGCAGUAGGGAAGCUGCAGCAAUGGGCGAAAGCCUGACGGAGCAACGCCGCGUGAGUGAUGAAGGUGCUCGGAUCGUAAAACUCUGUUAGUAGGGAAGAACAUAUGUGUAAGUAACUGUGCACAUCGUGACGGUACCUAAAGAGAAAGCCACGGCUAACUACGUG
rnacentral:rRNA from 1 species